rnacentral:SRP_RNA from 1 species
UGCUGGUCCCCUCGCAACGAUACACUACAAACCCCGCCAGGCCCGGAAGGGAGCAACGGUAGUAGUGAACUCGUGUGCCGGGGUGUGGCUGGUGGGG